rnacentral:rRNA from 1 species
UACGGAGGGUGCAAGCGUUAUCCGGAUUCACUGGGUUUAAAGGGUGCGUAGGCGGGUUGGUAAGUCCGUGGUGAAAUCUCCAAGCUUAACUUGGAAACUGCCGUGGAUACUAUCAAUCUUGAAUAUAGUGGAGGUGAGCGGAAUAUGUCAUGUAGCGGUGAAAUGCUUAGAUAUGACAUAGAACACCGAUAGCGAAGGCAGCUUACUACAGGAUGAUUGACGCUGAGGCACGAAAGCGUGGGGAGCAAACAGG